CUUAGCUUGCUUUGUAUCUUAGUGGCGGACGGGUGAGUAACGCGUGGGAACCUGCCUUUGAGUGGGGAACAACAGUUGGAAACGACUGCUAAUACCGCAUACGUCCUUCGGGAGAAAGGCUUCGGCCGCUCUUAGAUGGUCCCGCGUCUGAUUAGCUAGUUGGUGGGGUAAUGGCUCACCAAGGCGACGAUCAGUAGCUGGUUUGAGAGGAUGAUCAGCCACACUGGGACUGAGACACGGCCCAGACUCC
rnacentral:rRNA from 1 species